GAGUAUGCAGCUUUGUGGUCUUAGUUUUGCAAAAACUAUUGAGGAAAUUAUAUAUUUCCCAUAUUUU
rnacentral:tRNA from 1 species